rnacentral:rRNA from 1 species
GAUGAACGCUGGCGGUAUGCCUUACACAUGCAAGUCGAACGAAGAUUAGCUUCGGUUAAUUUUAGUGGCGGACGGGUGAGUAACACGUGAGAAUUUGCCUUUAGGAGGGGGAUAACUAGUGGAAACACUAGCUAAAACCCCAUAUGCCCACGGGUGAAACAGAGGAAUAAGGUUAAACCAUAACUCCUCUGCCUGAAGAGAAGCUCGCGGCUGAUUAGCUAGUUGGUAGGGUAAUGGCCUACCAAGGCGACGAUCAGUAGCUGGUCUGAGAGGACGAUCAGCCACACUGGAACUGAGACACGGUCCAGACUCCUACGGGAGGCAGCAGUGAGGAAUUUUCUGCAAUGGGCGAAAGCCUGACAGAGCAAUACCGCGUGAGGGAAGAAGGCUUACUGGGUUGUAAACCUCGGUGCCUUAAGGAAGAGGAUCUGACGGUACUUAAGGUGGAAAGCAUCGGCUAACCCCGUGCCAGCCGCCGCGGUAAAAC